CUGACAUCAUUGCAGGCUGGGGAGAAGUGGGAGCCAGUGAUGUCUGUAAUAAAUAAACUUCGGUUGUACGACAGUAUGAUCGAAGGACCACUACAGGCCCGCAUCUCCUCUGUCGAGACAAUGAUUAACGAGUUCAAGGGGAAGAUAGAGAGA